rnacentral:rRNA from 1 species
CAGUCGCCACGGGAAUACGAUGGGGGCUAGCGUUGCUCGGAAUGACUGGGCGUAAAAGGUGCGUAGGCGGUUUGAUAAGUCAUCUGUGAAAUCUCUGGGCUCAACCCAGAGUCUGCAGGCGAAACUGUCGGGCUUGAGUAUGGGAGAGGUGAGUGGAAUUUCCGGUGUAGCGGUGAAAUGCGUAGAUAUCGGAAGGAACACCUGUGGCGAAAGCGGCUCACUGGACCAUUUCUGACGCUGAUGCACGAAAGCUAGGGGAGCAAACAGGAUUAGAUACCCCCGUAGUCCCUGUCUCUUAUAC